rnacentral:lncRNA from 1 species
CCUUGCUUUGCCUCUCCAAGCCACCAGACAGCAGCUGGGCCACCUAGGCGGCUGCUGGCGUAGACGCUGGCGCUCUCUGCACGCUCUCUGUGCUGACGCCGGGACCCAGGGAGGCUCACGGUCGGGCACUCUGUCCCUCAGCCUGGUGCACGGACUGCGCCUGAGCUCAGCAGUAACCACAACAACAUGGCUCUGGGUUGGCUCGGAGUGAGGACAGGAAAGAUGCCUGCUCUAAAAAUAUAGGAUAUGGCUCCAGAUCUCUGUUCUGAGAACAGCUGGUCACGUUCAAAAUGAAUGCCUAAAGAAAAUAGCAAAUUUGAGAAGAAAUGCGAAUUCCUGAAUUUUGGCAAGGAAAGGCCGGCCGGAGGGGACCGUGUUACGUGACCGCAGCACUGGCCUGAGCUGUGAGCAAGGGGAUUGGCCUGACRACUGGAAGUCUCUGCGGAUGAAAGGAGAAGCAAGCUAUGAAUUCCCACGGGGGUACCCAGAGGUUUUGCGYAGGCUCCCUUGUGUUAGCAGGCUCCUGGCUGACCUUGCACCCGUCUCGCUCUUGGGGGAGCGCUGCCCAGCAAGGACUCGCUCUGGACCAGGGUGGUGA